rnacentral:rRNA from 1 species
ACUCCUACGGGAGGCAGCAGUGGGGAAUAUUGCACAAUGGGCGCAAGCCUGAUGCAGCCAUGCCGCGUGUAUGAAGAAGGCCUUCGGGUUGUAAAGUACUUUCAGCAGUGAGGAAGGUGGAGUCGUUAAUAGCGGCCUCAUUUGACGUUAGCUGCAGAAGAAGCACCGGCUAACUCCGUGCCAGCAGCCGCGGUAAUACGGAGGGUGCGAGCGUUAAUCGGAAUUACUGGGCGUAAAGCGCAUGCAGGUGGUUUGUUAAGUCAGAUGUGAAAGCCCGGGGCUCAACCUCGGAAUUGCAUUUGAAACUGGCAGACUAGAGUACUGUAGAGGGGGGUAGAAUUUCAGGUGUAGCGGUGAAAUGCGUAGAGAUCUGAAGGAAUACCGGUGGCGAAGGCGGCCCCCUGGACAGAUACUGACACUCAGAUGCGAAAGCGUGGGGAGCAAACA